rnacentral:tRNA from 1 species
GCGGACGUGGCGGAAUGGCAGACGCUGCGGUCUUAAACACCGCUGGGGCAACCCGUGCGGGUUCGAAUCCCGCCGUCCGCACCA